AGUUGCUACAAAGGGCACUCUAAUGAGACUGCCGGUGACAAACCGGAGGAAGGUGGGGAUGACGUCAAGUCCUCAUGGCCCUUAUAGGUGGGGCUACACACGUCAUACAAUGGCUGGUACAAAGGGUUGCCAACCGCGAGGGGAGCCAAUCCCAUAAAGCCAGUCGUAGUCCGGAUCGCAGUCUGCAACUCGACUGCGUGAAGUCGGAAUCGCUAGUAAUCGUGGAUCAGCAUGUCACGGUGAAUACGUUCCCGGGUCUU
rnacentral:rRNA from 1 species